rnacentral:rRNA from 1 species
UAGCAUAAUCAUUAGGGGUUUAAUUGGAACCUGGAAUGAAGGGUUGGACAAAGGAGAAACUGUCUUUACGUUGAAAGUUGAAUUUUACCUUUAAGUGAAAAGGCUUAAAUAUAUCAAAGGGACGAUAAGACCCUAUAAAGCUUUAUAGAUAAUUUAAGUCCGGUUGAUUUCAAAAAUAAAAACUGAGUUUAAUUAUUCUAUUUUAUUGGGGUGAUAUGAGUAUAAUUGUUAUUAACUGCUUAAUAAAAAUACUGAUAUAAAAGAGUUGAUUAGUACAUGAUCCUUACUAAAGAUUAGAAAGCUAAGUUACUUUAGGGAUAACAGCGUUAUUUCUUUUGAGAGUUCAUAUCGAAAAAGAAGAUUGCGACCUC